CCGUAGCCCAAGAGAUCGGGAUAACACCUGGAAACAGAUGCUAAUACCGGAUAACAACAGAUGAUGCCUAUCAACUGUUUAAAAGAUGGUUCUGCUAUCACUCUUGGAUGGACCUGCGAUGCAUUAGCUAGUUGGUAGGGUAACGGCCUACCAAGGCGAUGAUGCAUAGCCGAGUUGAGAGACUGAUCGGCCACAUUGGGACUGAGACACGGCCCAAACUCCUACGGGAGGCAGCAGCC
rnacentral:rRNA from 1 species